GGAGGGUCGUUUGGCUGGGAACAUUCCUCCUUAUGGAUCUCCAGGGUUGAUGAGGCUGAUCUGUCUGGCUAGGCAAGAGUCCCCUUCUUAUCUCAUCACUCCAUGUGCAACCCUCUUGCGGCUGUAAGCUGGCCAACCUUCCCAGAGAGAAGGAAGACCAUUCUUUGGCCAACUGCCUGCACGUACCUGCAUCCCCCUACUAGAACUUGCAAACAACCUCUCAGAAGCAUCCUCUGGUGGAGCUGCAGGGAGAGAAAGGGAGCAGCCCACUAGGGGCUGGUUUGGGACCUCCACCCAGU
rfam:Mesocricetus auratus contig013074, whole genome shotgun sequence.